CAACAUUGUUGUUAAUGUGACGAACCUCGGUACCGAGAUAUGAGUUGACUAGAGGAAACUCGCGACCAAGCACAGCAGAAAUUCUUAACAAAUAUCUACAGCUUUUGGGAAUGAUUGAUCAAGACUUUGAUUUAACAAUUGAUGCAGCUCCUGAUGCCCUUAUCACAAUGUGGCCAAAGUUGCCCAGGCAGACUUUGGAAUUUGCGGAGAAGAUUAAUCCAGGGUAUAGAAAGAUCCUAGGGGCUGGAGUGGACCAGAAAAUGACGCAGAGUCAACAUUGAAGAAAAUUUGGCUUUCAGUGUACUUCCUGUGAUUUUGAUCGGCAGAACGCAAGGGGAGAGAGGCAAAUGUGCCGUACUUCAAAGUCUUGAAUCUUUCAUCAAUCUCCAAUUAGUAAGUAUUGAUUAUCAUCUUACUUUUUCG